rnacentral:pre_miRNA from 1 species
GUCAGGAAGAGGAAGAAAUUGACCAUCUAAGGGCAGUCGGAAUGGGAACAUUGAGGAAAGCCUACAGCGUCUUUCAACUCCACUAGAAAUGGGGGUGCAGAUAAUGUUUUUGUGUUCUCCUAGUGCCUCCCAUUUCUAUUGUCCUUAGAUACUCCUUCCUCUUCCUUUCAGCU